CUUUUCUAGGGCCACUCCUGUGGGAUAUGGAGGUUCCCAGGCUAGGGGUUGAAUCAGAGCUGUAACUGCUGGCCUACGCCAGAGCCACAGCAACGUGGGAUCCGAGCUGCGUCUGUGACCUACACCACAGCUCACGGCAACGCCUAAUCCUUAACCCACUGAGCAAGGCCAGGGAUCGAACCUGCAACCUCAUGGUUCCUAGUCGGAUUCAUUAGCCACUGAGCCACAACAGGAACUCCUGAAAAAAUGCAUAGACACACCUCGUUCUAUUUCUCUUACCAUGAUAGCCAAGUCAAUGUUUACAAUUUAUUUUUUGUGGCUUUUAAAAAAGUGUUGCAAUUGCUACUAUUCUGUCAUUUAAUUUACGGUCUCUUUGGUCUUUCAUAGCGAGAUAUCUUGGUUAAUAAAACAGAAUGGUUGAUACUAAAAAAUGAAUUGGGAGUCUGUAGAGGUAACACCUGUGUUAAAAUUGUGUCGAAGCAAAAACUUGUGGGUUAUACUUUCAAUCACUUAGAGAUAUAUUUGGAGUUAUUUUUUUUUGGGGGGGGACAGAAUAUUUUGAUUUCAUUUUGGGCAAGCCAUAGACAUAAACUUCUAUACAAAAGCACUUUCCAAUCCCCUGUGUCUUAAAACACUUGGGGUGAGAUGCCUGUGUGGGGGCAGAAAACCCAUGGCUUUGGGCAGGUGCAGUAGCUUAGACUCUGAACGCUCGUGCCAGGCAGCCUGUACAGCAGCCGAAGCUCGCUUACGGGGAGGUGAGACCUCUGGUUCAGGUUUAGUAUCAUGAAUCCUAACCUUCCUGAUUCAGCUUCGCCUUUAGUAACAUGAGGUAAACCACGGUCCCUAGCUCAUGGGGUCGGCUGUACUCAUAGUGCGGCUGCUUGUCACGGGGCCUGGCGCGGAGAAGAAACGUUGGAUAUCCAUCACCUAAAUGAAGGCAGUCCCUGCUCCCCGCGGCAGCUGCACGGACCAUUGUUCAUUCCCGCAAAGAGGCCACACUCCCGCUCCUCAUCUGGACCCUCGCCCAUGCCAUUUCUCCUUUCCUCCUCCCCGACUCUGACUGCGAUUACCCUUCUAACUCUAUUCAUUCUUCUCGUCCCAUCCAAGAUAUUUUGUCCGCGGAGACAGGUUACAGGUUGCUUGCUUGAGCUCUGCAAAUACCCACCACGUGUCCCCUGCCAGGGCACCCAUCAUGUUGAACCAUGGCACCAAUCUAGUCCCCCUCUCACCCAGCUGGGAGCCCCAUGAGGCCCGGUGAGGUCUCUGGGGAACCUCCUCGUGAAAGGAACGCAUGAAACACUGACCUGUGUGUGGGGUGAGCUUCCACCGGAAGGACUGCUCCUUUGGACCCUCAAUCUCGAGCAUCUUGGAGACCCCAACGCACAUCAUGGCCCUCGCUCACAGUGUGUCCUGGAAAGGAUGCAGUGUCCAUCUCCCCAGCACCAGUGGAGUACCAGGACCAGCGUUACUUCUCAGGACUCGAUUGAGCUUUCAGAUGGAGCCAGGAAGAUUUUCAGAUGUGUGCUCUUGCUCUGGACCACUGGCCAGACAUUCUGUCCACAGCGCACGAGACUGACUGGCCGUUUUUCUUCCUCACACCACGGUCUCAGUCCUCAUUAGCAAUUCCCCAUCCUGAUUCUUACAAUGGCAUAUUUGUCUCCCUUUCAUUCCAAGUGAAUUGUAAUUAGCCAUCGGCCUUGCUGGCCGGUUGAUUUCUCAGAAAGUCUAUGUUCUCGGUGAUAAGACAAUUCUGUGCUAUUUCUAUUCAAUCCAUCAAGCUUUCUGCCAAAUUAAUUCCUGACUAAUGUAAUACUCACAGCUGUAAUAAUCAACAUUUAUUAAGCAUUUCUCUGUGCCAGGCACUUUGCAAAUGCUUUACCUGGGUUAUCUUAUUUAAUUUUUAUAACCAGCCUGUUAAAUAGAAACUGCUCGUAUGCCUUUUGCAGCUGAGGAAAUUGAGGCACAGAGAGAUUAAGUAAUUAGUUCAAGGCACAUAGAAAGAAAGUGACAAAACAGGAACUCAAACUCAGGUCUGCAUAACCUCAAAGGCUAUGCUCUUAACCAUGAGGUUCCAUCACUGACCUAUAAUUUUCAGUUAUUAUAAUGUCCUGAUUUGAAAGCACCAGGUACACUCAAAAAUAUACACUUUGUACCCAAAGUGACUUAGCUACAGUGAUCUUACUAAACCUGUGCUUUUCAUAUUACAUCCUAGCUUUCAUUUUGUCUUUUGUUUGAAAAGUAAAUAAGACAGAAAUAUUUCAUUUUCUCCUCUGCUUCCUUUUGGAACCAGGCACUGUUCUGUUUGUUUUAGGUGGAUGCAGAAGGUUACAAGUUGUUAGUGGAUGUUUAGCUGGACUGGUACCUACCCAAGCAAGAUUAAACUGAUGAUUGCGUUUUUAUGGGUGCCACUUUGCUCCUCUUUGAUUCCAGAGGUCUGGCCUAAGCUAUACCACCCAUUGAGCAAAAAAAAUAUUCUUGUAUAUGAGGUGGAUUGAAGGGGCCCUUUGGAUAGCUCUGUGUGGAAACUUAUUUCUGUUACUGAACAAAAUACUCUAAUAUGCUCGCUAAACUGUCUGCCUUGUUCCUGUGUGUGUGUGUGUGUGUGUGUGUGUGUGUGUGUGUGAAGAUUAAAAGAGAUGGAGAGAGGGAUUGAAAAUCAGUAACUCCCACCUUCAAUUUCCAAGUCAAUUUUUCUGAUUUACCAAAUUCAGAAAAUCAAAUUUGAUAAAUAUAGCAACUUGUUCAUUCUUACUCAAACUACUUUUCUGUAAAAAAAUAAAAAUAUCAUAGAGAAAGAACUCAAUAUUCUCAGGAGGAAAAACAAUAGGAAAUCAUUGUUUAAAUCUCUUUCAUUCAUUCAUCAAAUACUUAUUGGCUAUCUAAUAUACAUUAGGUGCUGUGCUCAGCAAUGUCAAAACUCCCACCUUCUGGAGUUCCCGUCAUGGAGCAGUGGUUAACGAAUCCCACCAGGAAUCAUGAGGUGGUGGGUUCGAUCCUUGGCCUUGCUCAGUGGGUUGAGGAUUCGGCGUUGCCGUGAGCUGUGGUGUAGGUCGCAGCUGUGGCUCAGAGCCCGCGUUGCUGUGGCUCUGGUGUAGGCUGGUGGCUACAGCUCCGAUUCGAUCCCUAGCCUGGGAACCUCCAUAUGCCAUGGGAGUGGCCCUAGAAAAGGCAAAAAGACAAAAAAAAAAAAAAAACCCAAAACUCCACCUUCACUAAAUUUAUACUCUGUAUACACAUAUUUAGAGGCAAUGAACAGGAUCAUUGGACAAUGGAACGUUAGGCAGCAGUAACUAUCUCACGGGUUUAUUAACACAAUGGACAAGACUCUUGGGUGGAAUAUAAAAUGAAGGAAGCAGUGCUCUCUCGACUUUGGUCUAUGUAAUCUAGGAAACUGCUUUUCUUUAUUCUUCACCUAGCUUGGUAUCAAUACAAACCACAGUUAAUGUCUACUGGGUUUUAUGUUUUCCGGUAUAACUUGACAAAUUGAUUUGCUUUGGCUUUGUCUGUCAAGCAUAUGGGAAAAUCCCCCCCCCCGCCCCCAAGAGGUUCCCACUGAUUGGUUAUGAGGAAGAGAUGAGAAGGUGGGGGAAGGUGAUCCUGCCACAACAGCUGCUUGAUUCUCAUCUGUGAGUCAUUGGUUUUGGGAAGAAAGCUUUCAAAUUACCCAGGCUGGCUUGUUAUGGCUGAAAUUCUAAAAGGGAUCUAGAUCAAGAAGCAUGUGGGUAUUAAAGGUUGUAAUUUUGACUGCUUCCUUGUGAAUAAUUCUAAUGACAAGACAAGGGAAUAUCCAAAUCAGGCACAGUGAAUAAAUUUAAUCCCAAAUGCCAGCCCAGACUGAUUAGUAGCAAGAAUUGGAACACGGAGAAGGAUUCUGCAUCUUAUCUAGAUAAUAGACCAAGCACUAACUGCAUUGACAUGACUCAAAUUUCCUUGGAUGAUGUAACUCCCCCUGACUGUUUGAGUUAGAAUUCAGAAUAAUCUUAAUAUACCAAAACAGUGAAUAAAAACCAACAAGGCAAAACCUAAUGAGGAUAACGCCAUAUUCCUGUAUUUAAAUGCCAAAUUCAGUGAUUUAGGGACUGGAGGACUAGGGAAACUUGGCUUGAGAGCAGCUAAGAAAAGACUUGACCUAUGAUCCGUAUGAAUCAGUAGGAUAGCAUGGCUACAAAAAAGCCCCAGAGCAAUGGUGGGCUUCUAGACUGCACAGGAUAGGCCAGUUCCACUGGAAAUGAAUUUCAAUGUCUCGUCUUCCCAGUCUGCUGCAUUGCUUGUGGCCUUGAGAAUGUGGAUUAGCUCCUGGUUUCUGGAGCUGAGGAUUGUACGGCAUGUGCUCAUACAGAAAGAAGAGAAAAUGUACCUAGAAAAAUCAGGAACUCUUUGUCUUUGAAAUAGGCUAGAUUUGCAAUCAGGUUUAAAAAAAGUGCAUCACAGGAUUUUUGCGAAUAUACGGGUUUUUGAAAAGCUUGGAAUGUGUCUUGCCCCAAAUGCUCUACCCUUAAACAUACCCACACACACUGCAGGAAGAAUUUCAUCCGUACGGAAUAUUCAUGGGCCGUGAAGUCAUCAAAAUCACUGUUGUGUCAGAACCGUUUGAUUUUCAACUUGCCAUUUAAGCUGUUCCAAGGAAACUCUUGAAAACUUAUUUUCUUGACACCGAUGUGAGUUUGGUAGAAGGAAUAAGGAGAAUGUAAAGUUUUCUGUUUGAACUUGAGACAGAGAACUUUCAGGAAUUUAAGCUUCCUGGAGUACAUGUAUUUUCAAGCCAGGCUGGCCUUUUCCACCUUCUCACAAGGAUCAUGAUGAUGAUGGUGGUGAUGAUGAUUGUGCUUAUUCGACUGAUUGGAUUUGGGUUAUUUUCUGAUUGUUCCUGGCACAAACUUUUCCCUAAUAAUUAUGCUGCAAAAAUAGAACAGGCGUAGGAACUACAAAGGAAAAUUGGAAAAUAGGCAGGGACAGGAGCUCUUGUGGUGGUGCAGUGGGUUAAGGAUUGGACUGCCGUGGCUUGGGCUGCUGCAGAAACAUGGGCAAUGGGUUAAAGGAUCUGGCAUUGCCACGGCUAAGGUGUAGGGCACAGCGGUAGCUCAGAUUCAAUCCAUGGCCUAGGAACUUCCAUGUGCUGUAGGUGUGGCCAAACGAAAAUAAAAAGAAAAUACGGACAGUUGGGCUAAAAGCACUGGGACACUAAAGGACAUUAAGUUUGAAGACAGAAAAUCUAGUCUGUGAACAGACUUUCUAAGUAGAGGUUACCCUACCUAGAAAGUCUGUUUUAACUGCAAGUCUAACUUGUUUCACUUGCAGGAAGGCAAGUUCCAAGGUUGGGAAGCCAAGAGCUGGGUU
rnacentral:lncRNA from 1 species